UGCCCUUCGGGCAUUCCGAGGGGGCAUGCCUGUUUGAGCGUCAUUUCUACCUCAAACCUCCGCUUGCUUAAUGAAAGAAGAGGGGUUUGGUUUCUGAGCGCUGCUGGCCUUUAGGGAGAAACGCGUGCGUAAUGCAUUAGCAUCCGCAAUCGAACUUCGGAUUGACUUGCCUGAAUAGACUAUUCUUUCAGGAAAUCUAGUCUUCGGACUAGAGCCGGGCUGGGUUAAAGGAAGCUUCUAAUCAAAAUGUCUACAUUUUAAGAUUACAUCUCAAAUCAGGCAGGACUGCCCGCUGAACAUAAGCAUAUCAAUAAGCGGAGGAA
rnacentral:rRNA from 1 species